ACGCUGGCGGCGUGCCUAACACAUGCAAGUCGAACGGAGAUAUAACGCUGCAGAGACUUCGGUCAAAGCUUGUUGUAUCUUAGUGGCGGACGGGUGAGUAACGCGUGGGCAACCUGCCUCAUACUGGGGGAUAACAGUUGGAAACGGCUGUUAAUACCGCAUAAGCGCACAGAGUCGCAUGACUCAGUGUGAAAAACUCCGGUGGUAUGAGAUGGGCCCGCGUCAGAUUAGCCAGUUGGCGGGGUAACGGCCCACCAAAGCAACGAUCUGUAGCCGGACUGAGAGGUCGGACGGCCACAUUGGGACUGAGACACGGCCCAAACUCCUACGGGAGGCAGCAGUGGGGGAUAUUGCACAAUGGAGGAAACUCUGAUGCAGCGACGCCGCGUGAGUGAAGAAGUAUUUCGGUAUGUAAAGCUCUAUCAGGCAGGGAAGAAAGGCUCGAAAGAGAGAUGACGGUACCUGACUAAGAAGCCCCGGCUAACUACGUGCCAGCAGCCGC
rnacentral:rRNA from 1 species